rnacentral:lncRNA from 1 species
CAGCUCACGCCAUUGUCCAGAGGUUUUUCCCCUUUCCCCACUUCACCUAAGAGCUCACGCCACUGACCGGCGGUCGUUGAGGCGGAGGAGGAGAGCGUCGGCGUGCCGUGCAGCACUGCGUCCUCUGCUCGUUGUCAUCAGUGGUGUGCAGCCGCGCAACGAGGCGGGUGAUAUUGACCUCUCGUGUGCAGUCUCUUGGAGACCGCAUCCCGUGGAAAGGGGCGUCGGUGUGCUGUGUCGCCGGCAGCGAUUCUAGCAUUGAUGCUUCAAGCAGGCAUCGAUUCUUGCUGCGCAGGAGCAUCGAUUCUUGAUGCGCAGGAGCAGCCUUCCAAGGCAGCCUAUUUUAGAGCCCUCAGUGGAUCAUGGCUGCAAGAGGAGUGAAGAGGAAAUUGCCAUCCCAAGAACCUACCCUAUCCGCAUCCCCCUGUUCGGCGUCACCCCUCGGCUCCGGCAAGCUGGUAGAGGCAUCGGCCGAUCUGGAAUCUAGCGAGGAUUCCACCCAGUCCUACCUCUCCGACGCUGCUUCCAGAGCCACUGCCCAAGAAGAUGUGGAGCUCGUCGCUCGUGUGCUGUCAAGGGUAGCUGCGAAGUCACCCGAAGCUAUCUGUCAGUUCGUCCGCCGCCUGACGCCGGCGAAGGUUGCGCGCUCGCUGGAUUGGGACCUGCUCGAGUCCGACAGGCUAAGAAAGAUGGCCGGCGGAGGGCACUGUCACUGGAGCAAGGAUGAACUGUUGGCGUUCCUCCAGAGUUGCUUGGAGGAAAUCGCAGCGCGCAACAUCACGUCGUCCUGCCCCAAAACUCUGGGGUAUGCCAACUUGCAGGCCAAGAUGCUGUCGAAGGUAGGGAAGCAUGUGACCAAGGCCCAGGGCUCUUGCCACCGCCGAUUUGUUACCUGGACAUGGCUGGAAUCAAUGGCAACUGGGCUAGGAAGGAACCCCUACACUGGCAGCAUCGACGCUAGCCCAGAGUGGUGGGAAGCAAUGGAAGCGGCCCCUCUCCAGGAGAGAAGAUCGGUUUUUACGAGACUUGAAGGGUUGAAGGUUCCUAUCGCCGGUGAAACUCCGGCGACCAAGACGGUGGAGCAAAUCACGGAGGGAGAUCCUAUUUCUGUGCGUAACUUGAAUUCAAAUUUCAUACCUUUCUGUACACAUUGUUUGGAUAAGGGCCAUAUUGCUUCUGAUUGCUCUGAGCCUAUUCGGUGCCAUUCUUGCCUGGAGGCUGGUCAUAUAGCCCGUUUCUGUACCACUAGGCCCGCUAAGGCCCAUCAACCUGUGGGAAAGUUUCCGAAACAGAGUUCUCGGAAUAACUUAGUUUGGAGAGCUAAAUCUUCUCCGGCCAAAAAGACGAUGGUUUCUCCCCGUAUCCCUUCCUCUCCCAGGAACAAUGUUCAAUCUAAUCCCCAAAAUUUCCCCUCGCUCGCAAUGGCUGAUCUCAACCCUAACCCGCAACGUUUUCUUCGUCAAGGCCAAGUGGUUCAUCAAGGUGGUAACUUGCGUGUGCCGCGUGUUGAUCUCACCGUCCCGCAGCGUCCGCCCCGACGUCAUGAGGAUGUCUGCAUCGCAAUUGUGGAGCCGGCCAUCCCUGAGCAUGAAUGGGAUCAUCACCGGCGCUUAUCUCGGAUCACAUUUUUGAAGUACACAUGUAUGAGGUUCGUACUGCUUACCGUCACCCUUCGGCAGUUGCUUCGUUCGGUCAUGCAUAGAGAUGCCUUGGUAAACUCUCCCCCUGCUGCAUAUGAUGGGAUGCAUACUGUUGAGUUUGUGAAGCAUGACCAAGGGCCAAACUGGCGUGCCUGUCACUUUAUUCGGGAGGGCUGGUUUCUUCUCUUGGAUUUCCCACUAGAUUUUGUUGAUCGUCACCAUAUAAAUCUAGCGGUAGCUUCUUUUAGACAGCUUUCUUUUUGGCUUGAUAGGGACCACAUGUUGGGUAGAGUGUUUGUGAGAGCAAAGUAUAGAGAUCUUGACUCGGUCCCCCGGAAAAUAGUGUUACAGGAUCCUUUGGGAAUGGAUCACCCAAUGGGCCAGGUUGAAGAAAACCCGGGACAAUUGAUUAUCUUGCCUAAUCAAGAGGAGCAGGAGCUUAAUCUGUUUGAACAGGAGCAACAAGUUCAGCUGUUUCUGGCCAGGCUCAAGGAUAUAGCUGACAGGGAAGGACCAAAGCACCCAUCUUUUUAUCCUAUGGCAGGAUUGCUGAAGAAAAUUGAUCAUCUGUGCAAAGCUGAGGAAAUUAUGCAGGCAGCUCAAAUUCCUAGCCCCACAUCUCUGCCAUACAGCUCUCCUUUCAUGACCCUCGUACUCCCUAAAAGGAAGGCAAUGUUUGAUCAUGCUCCUCCUGCAGUAAAAAGAGCACAUUCCAGUUGGGCUUUAUUGCCUUCCCCCUCUGAAGAUGGGCUUUCUGAUCAGGAGAUUUUGGAUGUUGUACCUUUGCAAGCCCAGCCAUCAAGUCCAGAAGUCACCCCAGCAGUGCUUCAGAUUCCUAUGGCUCCUGUCAAAAAAAGGGAUGGGAAGACUAUUCUGUAUAAUCCUGCUAGAAGACAGAGCUCUAGGCUUCUUAAUUCCAACCAAGAGCUCAAAUUCGAUCAUCGAAUGGGAAUAGGCAAACCAAGGGGAAAUAAAAUUACUGAAUCUGAUUUCAAUGUUGUGGAAGAUGAGAUAAACUUAGAUUCUUCCCCUUCUGAUUGUUCAUUAUCUUUGUUGCAAAAGAUGGGGGUGGAUCUAUGUGGUCUGAAUCCUGAGGAGCAGAGGAAAGGGGCAAGAUCAUUCAUGCAUGCCCCUCUCAGGUUUAUUCCAGAGCACCAUGCUGUUUUCAGAGGGAGGACAGCAGUCGGCAACCGUUCAAGUGUCCCUGGAGCUCAGCCUGAACAGCCUCAGGUGCUAGCCAACGCAGCCAUCGAUGAGCUUGUGGACUUGCCGGAUACGCCACCAUCACCUGAGCCACAACCCAUGCCUCCCAGGCGUAGGGGCAAAAGGGUGGCAACACCGGGCAGUAAUUCCAGGGGUUCCAAGAAGACCCGCAGCGAUUCAACUGGUGAAGCUUUGCAGAGGCUUGCUGACCUGAGGGUUAAGUCGAGCAAAGCUCAAAAGCAGCGCGAGCGAGAGGCGAUGGGUGCUAGGGCUUGCAUUGAGCUGCUAAAGGGUGAUGGGCACUUAUUUAGCUCCGAUGUUUACCACAUGGGGAUUUACCUUUUUAGUGAUCCCUACUUCUGUGAGUUCUUCCUAGCUGAUGCCAUUACACCGGAGAUGCGUGAGUAUUACAUUCGAGCCCAUUAUGCCAUGAAGUGUCCAGGGGGAGGGUUUUUCCCUCCUCCAUCAUGCUCAGGAGGCUGGUUUCCUGGUGGUGGAGGGUUUGAUGGGGGCCAGGGGGGUGAGGGGGUGACCUUGGGGAUGAUGGUGCUGGGGGUGCUGAUGGAGCAGCAGUGUGCUGAGGAGGCUGAAGCUACAAAGUGCUCAAGCAGCUUUUUAAUUUCCAUCGUCAUGAGGAUGAGCACCGAUUCUGAGAACAACUCAAGUUCUGAAGAUGGAUACACAAGUGAAGAGGAUGAAGCUAUUGUAGAGUUGGUGGCUGCUGUUGAUCAAAGGAAUGGGCCUAGAAGAGCUCCUAGAAGGGUCCCUCGCCAAUCCGGAAUGGAAUGGGUUAUGGAGACAAUGGCCAACCCAGAGCAGUGCCACAACAUGUUUCGCAUGAGAUCGGACCAGAUUCAUGCUCUGUACAAUCUACUCGUCAGCAGGUACCAUCUCACUGGUUUGCCCUAUGGAAGCUAUUGGGAUGUUUCUGUAUGCAAUGGCAAGGGGUAUUCAAUGAGGUCAGUGAACAAUAGAAUGGUUCGUUGCAAUGCCACUGUGAAUAGAUAUUUUCACAGGGUGUUGAAUGCUGUUAAUGAAAUGGCAGCCGACAUCAUCAAACCAGUUAAUCCCAACAGCUUCCCACAGCAUUACCGACUGCAGCAAGAGCCCGUCUUCGAACCAUUCCGUGAUGCAAUUGGAGCAGUCGAUGGUACGCACAUUCCUGUUAUGGUGCGUAGGACAAGUUCCAUUGCUCACAGGAACCAUCACAAUGAGACUUCGAGGAAUGUGCUCACUGUUAUUGGUUGAGAUGAAAGGG